AGUGGAGUAGGGUGGUGUUAAUUUUAUUUGAUAUAACUUUGAAAUGAGUGAGUGUAGUUUUCGAUGGUAGGGUGUUCAUUUAGUACGUUUGUAUUUUUCAAGAAAAGUAUAAGGGUGUUGUACUCCAGUCUAGUAGGUGGCGGUAAUUCAACAAAUUGGAUGCCAACCACCGUUAAACCUCAUAGAAGAAGAGUUUUUGCUCCAAAGGAUCAUGGGAACUUUCUUUUCCGAAGAUAGCAAUGUGCUGUCAACGUUUUACUCAUUCCAUUUUGUGAUACUACAGCGAGUGGGAUCUUGGAAUUUUAAUCUAUUCAUGUUUUGACUACAUUUUUGGUCGUAAGACGCAUCAUCGUAACGUUAAGUGCAUUGACUUUUUAUCCUCGAACAUUUUAUUUUGAUUCAGUUGAAUUUAUCCAGCUGUAUAGUUGUGAAUGAUCUCGCUGGCUGAGUUGAUAUUACAAACGGCUAACUCACAGACACGAUUUAUUUUUUAACAUUUUGUGAAAUGUGCUUGGACAGCAUGGAAACUAAAGUGGAAUUCAAAGUACUGAAACCUUGCUACUCCAGAAGAUCUGGUAAACGUUCAAAGUGCAGACUGAGGAAACUUCUCCAUUUGAGUUCCAAGGAAGGCCUGAAACGGUGGCGCACCAACCUUGUCAAAGCCACUCUCAAAAAAUACAUUCGUUGCGAACAGAAGAGGGUGCUCACUAAACUGGUCAUCCAAGAACAACUUUUGACGGGCAACGGCGAAGAUAUGACGUAUAUGGUGACCGAGAAUAUUGGCAGAAUUACACGACCACUAGGCGCAAUGGCGCCAAAGAAUACAACACAGUAUCUGAUGGACAUUGUAUACGACGACAUGCACAUCGACACCAGUUCCAACCAGUUCAAGUCGCACCCAGUUUCAUUUGUUUCUAGCGCCUCUCUUUCACCCAGGACUGCGUGUGAAAGUUCUCUUGAUUUUCAACAGAGGGACUUCGACGAAAUGUAUCUCCAUUUUGGAUCAUGUUGAUCAGGCUUGAACCAGUCUGUGGCAGAGCUGACCAAUGCAUUGACUCUAAACCUCGCAAACCAAGCGACGCACCGGACGCUGCCUGUCAGUAGGGGGCGCUCGCUCGCAGCGUCGCUUCCGGUGAAGUUGAGUCCACCGCUAAGGUAUCCCAGGUAAACCUGCGUCACCAACAGGUAAACGUGGCAGGUAGUGGAGUCAUCCUGUAAGGUUCUAUGGUGCAAUUUGACUUCAUUUGGUUGCAUUUCAUUGACCUUACUACAGGUGUAGUCUCAUAGUCAAUAUGGCGUAAUCUUGGUUGUAUACACAGUACCCAGAUGUGUUCACAGCCAUCUGCUGUAUUUACUCUGGUGCGAGCCUUUUUCAGGUCACUCCGUUCUUCUACAUGCCUCCUACCUGACUGCAAUCAGCUCGGCUGUUGCCAGAUCGAUGGACACGUGCGGAUGACUGAGGAAGGAAGUAAGGUUUCAAGUCCACCUCACAUGUAGUGUUGCACUUCUAAUGUAUACUUAAUGGGUAAUACUGACUUGAUUAGCAAUCAUGUUACCAAAUGCAAGUUUGGGUAAUAUUCACUCAUUACAGAUAUGUUACCCAUAGCAAAGACAUUCAAUCCAUUUUUUGAUUACUUAAUGUAAACUUUUGUUUAAAAACAUGUCGCCAAUGACAUAGAUGUAAAUGUAUUGUAUGUCUCUGGACAUGUUGAGAAAUCCUAACUUCCUAGUUAAAUGCUCGUGUGAAUAAAAGUGUAUGACCUGUU